AACGCACCUUGCGCCCCUUGGUAUUCCGAGGAGCAUGCCUGUUUGAGUGUCAUGAAAUUCUCAACCUUACCUGCUUUGGUGGUAGGUCACCAAAAGGUUUGGAUGUGGAAGAUUGCAGGCUUUUUCAUAUCUGAAGCCGGCUCUUCUGAAAUGCAUUUGCAGGACUCCAUUGUCUUAUAGGCCUUGGUAUGAUAAACUAUCUAUGCCUUCGCCAGGAGACAUUUUGGUUCUGCUCUCUAAAUCGUCCCACACAGACAAGUUUUGACACUUUUGACCUCAAAUCAGGUAGGAUUACCCGCUGAACUUAA
rnacentral:misc_RNA from 1 species